UGGGGAAUAUUGGACAAUGGGCGAAAGCCUGAUCCAGCCAUGCCGCGUGUGUGAAGAAGGUCUUCGGAUUGUAAAGCACUUUAAGUUGGGAGGAAGGGCAGUAAGCGAAUACCUUGCUGUUUUGACGUUACCGACAGAAUAAGCACUGGCUAACUCUGUGCCAGCAGCCGCGGUAAUACAGAGGGUGCAAGCGUUAAUCGGAAUUACUGGGCGUAAAGCGCGCGUAGAUGGUUCGUUAAGUUGAAUGUGAAAGCCCCGGGCUCAACCUGGGAACUGCAUCCAAAAAUGGCGAGCUAGAGUAGGGCAGAGGGUGGUGGAAUUUCCUGAGUGGCGGUGAAAUGCGUAGGUAUAGGAAGGAACACAAAUGGCGAAGGCAACCACCUGGGCUCAUACUGACACUGAGAUGCGAAAGCGUGGGGAGCAAACAGG
rnacentral:rRNA from 1 species